UUACUCGGGGAUAGGCUUUCGAAAGAAAGAUUAAUACCCGAUGGUAUAGUUAUACCACAUGGUUUUACUAUUAAAGAAUUUCGGUAAACGAUGGGGAUGCGUUCCAUUAGGCAGUUGGCGGGGUAACGGCCCACCAAACCUACGAUGGAUAGGGGUUCUGAGAGGAAGGUCCCCCACAUUGGAACUGAGACACGGUCCAAACUCCUACGGGAGGCAGCAGUGAGGAAUAUUGGUCAAUGGAUGAGAAUCUGAACCAGCCAAGUAGCGUGAAGGAUGACUGCCCUAUGGGUUGUAAACUUCUUUUAUAAGGGAAUAAAGUUGACUAUGUAUAGUCAUUUGUAUGUACCUUAAGAAAAAGCAUCGGCUAACUCCGUGCCAGCAGCCGCGGUAAUACGGAGGAUGCGAGCGUUAUCCGGAUUUAUUGGGUUUAAAGGGAGCGUAGGCGGAUGGUUAAGUCAGUUGUGAAAGUUCAAGGCUCAACCUUGAAAUUGCAGUUGAAACUGGUCAUCUUGAGUGCAGUAAAUGUGUGCGGAAUUCGUGGUGUAGCGGUGAAAUGCUUAGAUAUCACGAAGAACUCCAAUUGCGAAGGCAGCUCACAGGAGUGUAACUGACGCUGAUGCUCGAAAGUGUGGGAAUCAAACAGGAUUAGAUACCCUGGUAGUCCACACCGUAAACGAUGAAUACU
rnacentral:rRNA from 1 species